rnacentral:rRNA from 1 species
UACGUAGGUGGCAAGCGUUGUCCGGAUUUACUGGGCGUAAAGAGCGCGCAGGCGGUCGAUUAAGUCGAGUGUGAAAGCCCCCGGCUCAACUGGGGAGGGUCACUUGAUACUGGUCGACUCGAAGGCAGGAGAGGGAAGUGGAAUUCCCGGUGUAGUGGUGAAAUGCGUAGAUAUCGGGAAGAACACCAGUGGCGAAGGCGACUCGCUGGACAGGUAUUGACGCUGAGGUGCGAAAGCGUGGGGAGCAAACAGG